AUGCAUGUCUAAGUAUAAAUGGUAUACAGUAAAACUGCGAAUGGCUCAUUAAAACAGUUAUAGUUUAUUUGGUAAUCGAAUUUACAUGGAUAACCGUGGUAAUUCUAGAGCUAAUACAUGCUGUAAAGCCCGACUUCUCGGAAGGGCCGUAUUUAUUAGAUAACAGACCAGCAGCUUCGGCUAUUGUGGUGAAUCAUAGUAACUAAUCGGAUCGCAUGGGCUAGUCCCGCGACAAACCAUUCAAGUUUCUGCCCCAUCAGCUUUCGAUGGUAGUGUAUUGGACUACCAUGGCUUUUACGGGUAACGGAGGAUUAGGUUCGAUUCCGGAGAGGGAGCCUGAGAAACGGCUACCACAUCUAAGAAGGCAGCAGCGCGUAAAUUACCCAAUUCUGAUUCAGAGAGGUAGUGACAAGAAAUAACGGGUCGGGACUUUGUCCCGGGACUGCAAUGAGAUGAACUUAUACCCCUUUUCGAGUAACCAUUGGAGGGCAAGUCUGGUGCCAGCAGCCGCGGUAAUUCCAGCUCCAAUAGCGUAUAUUAAAGUUGUUGCAGUUAAAAAGCUCGUAGUUGGAUUUCUGGCAGGAUGACUUUGCCCUCUGUAGAGUGCGCAAUGCUGUCCUACCAUCCUUCUGUUAACCCUUUCGACCUUUAAAAGUUGGCUGGGGGCUCAGAUAUUUUACCUUGAGGAAAAUUAGAGUGUUUCAGGCAGGCUAGCGCCGGAAUACAUUAGCAUGGAAUAAUAGAAUAGGACUUUUGCCUCUUCUGUUGGUCUGAGGGGUGUAAGUAAUGAUUAAUAGGGAUAGUUGGGGGCAUUAGUACUUAACUGUCAAANGUGAAAUUCUCGGAUUUGUUAAAGACUAACUUAUGCGAAAGCAU
rnacentral:rRNA from 1 species